CCACCUAUGUCUAACUUUGAUAAGAAGUAAAGAACUUCUGAUGUGUUGCAAGUGGUUUGUCUUGUGGAGGCGCUUUGGGUACUACUUCUUACCAAGCUUGGGCAAAGAAGAUCGUUGGAAUUGGUCUCUUGGCGUCUGAUAGGCUGAACCUCCGGCUGAAUAAGGACAAACGUUUAGUUAUGCGUUUUUUUCUCCUACUGAAUGACAAGCCAGAUGCUGCUUAAGUGGCUGGAAACGAGCUUCUCUAAGGCUUUUAGCCGCCGCUACAUCGUGUAUCUCGUAAUGCCAGACGUGUAGAACGUAAUCCGAGUUUAUAAGCUUCUGUUUGGAGUUUAUUUGUUUUCUCACUGUUCAUUUUUCCAACAUUUCCUUCACUAUUUACAAGAAACUCAUGUCACAAUGACGACAAUUCCCACGCGAGAUGUCACAAGGCGCGCGCCACGUGCCACGGAGGCGGAGUUCCGUCAAAAGAGGUAAAAAACAUACACACACACGUGCGAAGUAGAAGGGAAAUAAAAGCAGCUGAUGCUAUUCUGUGGAGUUUCAACUGUUGGUCAUUCAAGAAACUACCGGUUGUUUCCAAGUCAGAAACACUGUUCAGCUGAGUAGUAAGCCUCCUGUCUGGUGACACUCGUCACGGCUUACUUGUGUCAGGGUUUUUCUCUAAUAAUAAAUGUGUUAGCAGCAACCAUGAUACCAACCACAAUUUUCACAGUUUUUCCGUUUCUUCUUGUAACAGCUGACUGUUCCAGUUGGAUAUGUUUCAACGGAGGACGUUGUAUCGGGCGAGAGCGCAACGGAUACGGCUACCACUGCUUCUGCCCCGCCGGCUUCCAAGGUCCCCGCUGUCAAUAUGUUUCCUAACUCGAGUCUACACCAGCUCUAUAAAGACGUGUCUGUGUGACUCCGGCCAGGCUCUGUUCGAUUGGUCAGUAGGAAGAAAUACGUUGACGAAGAAUUAAAGAAAGCCGGGUCAUUCUCGAGGCUCAUUCUCUCUCUCUUCUCAACAAAGACGGACAAUAAAAAAAUAGUUUGCCAGUUUUUGUACAGUCCGCGAGAGCAGAAUGUUUCACAUGAUGCUGUUUUCGAUUUGUCAUCUUAUGUCAGCUCAUUCUGAAGAACCCCGGGAUCACUUAUGGCAACUUGGAUAUGCAAAUCGAAUUUACUCAGUAUCCCUGUAGAGUUUCAUGUUUCUUUCUGAAUAGUCUGGAUAUUUUCCCAUAAUUGGCUACAGAGCUUAACUUUUUGAAUGAGCUACGUCAGGGCUGUAGUUGCGAUUUGAAAUGUAGACGUCUCUCUGUAACUUGAAUAUUUAUAUCGAAUUCAUUAAAGACCUUCACAAGGUUGUGUAUUAAUUUUAUUAUAA